CCUAAUCAUAACCCUUAACUUAAAACCCUAAACUCUAAACCUAAAAACCUUAAACCCUAAACCUAAAACCCCCAAAACCUAAACCUAAAAACCCUAAACACUAAACUUAAAAACUCCAAACCCUAAUAAUUAACUUAAAAACCACAAACCCUAAACCUAAAAACCAUAAACCCUUAACUUAAAAACCACAAACCCUAAACUUAAAAACCCUAAACCGUUAAUACUGUACCUGCAGCACAUGUAUGUGGACCUUUGUACUUUUU
rnacentral:lncRNA from 1 species